rnacentral:rRNA from 1 species
ACGGUCCUAAGGUAGCGAAAUUCCUUGUCGGGUAAGUUCCGACCCGCACGAAAGGCGUAAUGAUUUGAGCGCUGUCUCGACAAUGCAUCCGGUGAAAUUGAAGUACCAGUGAAGAUGCUGGUUACCUGCGCCAGGACGGAAAGACCCCAUGGAGCUUUACUCCAGUCUGGUACUGGGACUCGGUAUUGCAUGUACAGGAUAGGUGGGAGGCUAGGAGAUGGUAACGCCAGUUGCCAUGGAGCCGCUGUUGGGAUACCACCCUUGCAGUAUUGGGUUUCUAACCAGCCGCCGUGACCCGGCGGUGGGACAAUGCCAGACGGGGAGUUUGACUGGGGCGGUCGCCUCCGAAAGGGUAUCGGAGGCGCCCAAAGGUUCCCUCAGAAUGGACGGAAACCAUUCGAAGAGUGCAAAGGCAGAAGGGAGCUUGACUGCGACACCGACGGGUGGAGCAGGUACGAAAGUAGGACUUAGUGAUCCGGUGGUAUAAAGUGGGAUUGCCAUCGCUCAACGGAUAAAAGCUACCCUGGGGAUAACAGGCUUAUCACUCCCAAGAGUUCACAUCGACGGAGUGGUUUGGCACCUCGAUGUCGGCUCAUCGCAUCCUGGGGCUGUAGUAGGUCCCAAGGGUUGGGCUGUUCGCCCAUUAAAGCGGUACGCGAGCUGGGUUCAGAACGUCGUGAGACAGUUCGGUCCCUAUCCGGCGUGGGCGUAGGAUAUCUGAGAGGAGCUGUCCUUAGUACGAGAGGACCGGGAUGGACGGGCCGCUGGUGCAUCGGUUAGACUGCCAAGUCUACGGCCGAGUAGCCAAGCCCGGAAGGGAUAAACGCUGAAGGCAUCUAAGCGUGAAGCCCCCCUUAAGAUGAGAUAUCCCAUUCGAAAGAAGUAAACCCCCUUGAAGACGACGAGGUAGAUAGGGCAGAGGUGGAAGUGCAGCAAUGCAUGGAGCUGACUGUUACUAAUCGGGUGAGGGCUUGACCAA